rnacentral:rRNA from 1 species
CUCAAAGGAAUUGACGGGGGCCCGCACAAGCGGCGGAGCAUGUGGAUUAAUUCGAUGCAACGCGAAGAACCUUACCUGGGUUUGACAUGCACAGGACGCCGGCAGAGAUGUCGGUUCCCUUGUGGCCUGUGUGCAGGUGGUGCAUGGCUGUCGUCAGCUCGUGUCGUGAGAUGUUGGGUUAAGUCCCGCAACGAGCGCAACCCUUGUCUCAUGUUGCCAGCGGGUAAUGCCGGGGACUCGUGAGAGACUGCCGGGGUCAACUCGGAGGAAGGUGGGGAUGACGUCAAGUCAUCAUGCCCCUUAUGUCCAGGGCUUCACACAUGCUACAAUGGCCGGUACAAAGGGCUGCGAUGCCGUGAGGUGGAGCGAAUCCUUUCAAAGCCGGUCUCAGUUCGGAUCGGGGUCUGCAACUCGACCCCGUGAAGUCGGAGUCGCUAGUAAUCGCAGAUCAGCAACGCUGCGGUGAAUACGUUCCCGGGCCUUGUACACACCGCCCGUCACGUCAUG